CCUGGCGGCUGUAGCGCGGUGGUCCCACCUGACCCCAUGCCGAACUCAGAAGUGAAACGCCGUAGCGCCGAUGGUAGUGUGGGGCCUCCCCAUGCGAGAGUAGGGAACUGCCAGUG
rnacentral:rRNA from 1 species